rnacentral:rRNA from 1 species
CGCGUAGGCGGUCUUGUAAGUCCCGUGUGAAAGCCCCCGGCUCAACCGGGGAAUGGCACGGGAAACUGCGAGGCUUGAGUUCGGGAGAGGGAAGCGGAAUUCCGGGUGUAGCGGUGAAAUGCGUAGAUAUCCGGAGGAACACCAGUGGCGAAGGCGGCUUCCUGGACCGAUACUGACGCUGAGGCGCGAAAGCUAGGGGAGCAAACG